ACCUCAGCUAGGCAAGUCUUCCUCAAGAAGUCAAACACAGUCUUUUUGUCAUGGAGUCAAAGCUUAACAAACAAAGAUACAUGGUCUUCUAGAUUAACAUCCAGCAACUCUAUUUCAAGCUUUAGCACCAACCAGCAGUGGUCACACAGUGAACCUCAUGCCUGUUUCAGAGCCUGCCAACAGCACAGCUCCUGGAAGGAAGCCUAGCUGUUACCGAACAACAGGUUUUUAAGCUCUAGCUGAAUGAUACUGGAUGAGUUAGAAAGUCUUGGAAGUGGAUUUAUAAAGAAAAUGUUGACAGAACUUGGAUUCUCAUACUGCUGGAGAGUAUCAUAAGCCCCCUGGAGCCCUCACAUAUGCAUUCCUGUGAAAGGCUUUGAGAACUGUUCAGCUGAGUCUGAGCAAUGAGAGAUGACCUUUGAGUGAACUUCCUCAGGGGCUUGA